rnacentral:rRNA from 1 species
AAACGACUCUCGGCAACGGAUAUCUCGGCUCACGCAUCGAUGAAGAACGUAGCAAAAUGCGAUACUUGGUGUGAAUUGCAGAAUCCCGUGAACCAUCGAGUUUUUGAACGCAAGUUGCGCCCGAAGCCUUUUGGUUGAGGGCACGUCUGCCUGGGCGUCACACA